ACCCUGAGGAGCCAAUGAAAAAUUGUGUUGUAAAUAUUAUCCGUGAUGAUAUUGUGUUGUAAAUACUUUAUCCGUGAUGCAUAUGUGUAAAUAUUAUAUUAUGGAACUAUAGAUACAUAUAAUAUAUAUAUAUAUAUAUAGUGUUUUAUAGUAUAUUUAUAUGUAAUGCUUUAAAUUAUAUAAAUUAUAGGUGCGCGUUUACAUAAACUAGCAGCAAAUAAUAUGCAUUCGAAAAUAACAAUAACAUAAUUGUAAACCCUAAAUGGAAAACCAAAAGGAAAGAAAAGGAAAAAAGAAAAAACUCUUUAGUCUCGGUUGGUAACACCAAUCGGGACUACAAGUGGAGGCCAGGUGGCACACCAUGACGCACCUUUUAGUCCCGGUUGCUGUUGCCAACCGGGACUAAAGUCCUGGGCCUCGG
rnacentral:lncRNA from 1 species